CAGGGUCCUUUAUAGUUUCAGCUUUCAACAAAAUUGUAGCAACUUAAUAAAGAUAUCCCAGUUAACAAGACUUUCAAGCAAGCAUGACUCUACAAUUACACACACUCUCAGUUGUUAUAUAUUAGUAGCAUUAUGUUGUUAGGGACAUUGAUCGAGUGUAUUAUCCUGUUCUUUUUUGGGGGGUCCUGCAAUUUUCUCCAAAUCAAUUUUCUUUUGCCACUGUUUUUCUUGUUGCUUAAUUUCUGUUUAUCAUGAUUGUGACUUCAAUUAUAUCACAGCUCAUAACGUUGUAACCUGAAAAGCACCCGUAACUGACGAUGAAGAGCAGCAGAAAUUCGACACGUAUAACCACAAGACUAGAAAGACGGGCCAGAAAUGCCAGUCAGCAGAAGGUCCAUCACGGCCUCAUAUAAUUCAGGAGCAGAGCGACCGAUUUCACAUUAUGACAUAGACAAAAGAAGGGUGCUGCUCGUAGCUCGGUUUUGAACUUGGUAGACUAUGGAAGUAAGCAGCUUUAAUUUUUUUGACUUCAUUGAAGCUUGUUUACUUAUGUUUUUCUUUGUAUAUAUUAAGGUGAUUGAUUUUGUUAUUUACUAGAAUGUUUUGUGCUUCCUCUGAUAGUCAUAAUUGGAUCUGUAGUUCACAAACAUAGAACGCAAAAGAUGACGGAAAAUAACACAGAGAUUAUUUUAUCCAAUGAAUGAUCCUUGAAGCCUAGAAGAUAGUUUGCUUCUUUUUCAGUUAAUUACUGUAUUAUGAGUUUCAAUUGAUUGAUUAUAGGAAUGUUUUAAGUAAAAUUAAUCAAUUUAAUUAUUCAGCAGUAAA